ACUCUGUUUCCCUGCCACGGUCACCACCUUCCCCUCUUCACUGGAGAGCCUUUUUCCAUUUUCUUUUUUAAUUUUUUUUUUCCACAGAGAAAGAGAGAGAGAGAGGGAGAGAAUGUGUGUGCAAGAGUAGGGGAGGGGGCAAAGGGAGAGAGGAGGGACCAGGCAGGCUCCACCCCAUGCUCAGCAUGCUCAGCAUGGAGCCUGACAGGGGGCUUGAUCCCAUGACCCUGGGAUCAUGACCUGAGCCGAAAUCAACAGUUGGACACUCAACCGACUGAGCCACCCAGGCACCCGAAGUCUUUUUCUAUUUUUGACUUCUUUUUUCCCUCUAGGUAGUUACUGUUGCUGAGCAAUGUGACUCCGAGUUUAUAAAAGCUCUGCUGCAGACGUCCAAGUUGGCCUGACUACGAAGAAGCAGGUGGACUCAUGUGAAGGAACACACCUGGAGCGGAACAAGCGGUUCUGCUCUCCUGGCAGCGACGGACAACGUGCAUCACGGGGAGCCGCGUCGGACAGGACCCCC